rnacentral:rRNA from 1 species
CCUACGGGCGGCAGCAGUGAGGAAUAUUGGUCAAUGGACGGAAGUCUGAACCAGCCAUGCCGCGUGCAGGAAGACGGCUCUAUGAGUUGUAAACCGCUUUUGUACAAGGGUAAACCUGAAUACGUGUAUUCAGCUGAAAGUACUGUACGAAUAAGGAUCGGCUAACUCCGUGCCAGCAGCCGCGGUAAUACGGAGGAUCCAAGCGUUAUCCGGAUUUAUUGGGUUUAAAGGGUGCGUAGGCGGAUUGAUAAGUUAGAGGGGAAAUGUCCGAGCUUAACUCGGGAACGUCCUCUAAUACUGUGGAGAUAGAGAGUAGAUGCGGUAGGCGGAAUGUAUGGUGUAGCGGUGAAAUGCUUAGAGAUCAUACAGAAAACCGAUUGCGAAGGCAGCUUACCAAUCUAUAUCUGACGUUGAGGCACGAAAGCGUGGGGAGCAAACAGGAUUAGAUACCCUAGUAGUC